rnacentral:other from 2 species
GAAUCCCUGCUGUAUUCGGGCGCGCCAGAAGUUCCGAGCCAACACCCAUGACCGGGGAGCCCGGGCUCCGGGCGUGGACGGCACGCCUCUGAACGGUCCGCCGGGAGGAGGACGCCGGAAGCGUUCGGGAGGGCACCCACCUGUCCGAGGACAGGUUCGGGAACUCUGGCACAAUCGGUACGGCGGGGAUUCU